GACGGAGGGAGCUAGCGUUGUUCGGAAUGACUGGGCGUAAAGGGCGCGUAGGCGGUUUUUUAAGUGAGGCGUGAAAGCCCUGGGCUUAACCUGGGAAUGGCAUUUGGGACUGCAAGGCUGGAGUGCGGCAGAGGAGACUGGAAUUCCUGGUGUAGCAGUGAAAUGCGUAGAUAUCAGGAGGAAUACCGAUGGCGAAGGCAGGUCUCUGGGCUGACACUGACGCUCAUGCACGAAAGCGUGGGGAGCAAACAGG
rnacentral:rRNA from 1 species